rnacentral:rRNA from 1 species
GUUUGAUCAUGGCUCAGAUUGAACGCUGGCGGCAUGCCUAACACAUGCAAGUCGAACGGUAACGCGGGAGCUUGCUCCUGGCGACGAGUGGCGGACGGGUGAGUAACGCGUAGGAAUCUGCCUGGUAGCGGAGGACAACUCGGGGAAACUCGAGCUAAUACUGCAUACGCCCUACGGGGGAAAGCGGGGGAUCUUCGGACCUCGCACUAUCAGAUGAGCCUGCGUCCAAUUAGCUUGUUGGUGAGGUAACGGCUCACCAAGGCGACGAUUGGUAGCUGGUCUGAGAGGAUGAUCAGCCACACUGGGACUGAGACACGGCCCAGACUCCUACGGGAGGCAGCAGUGGGGAAUAUUGGACAAUGGGGGAAACCCUGAUCCAGCAAUGCCGCGUGUGUGAAGAAGGCCUGCGGGUUGUAAAGCACUUUCAGUAGGGAAGAAAAGCCGACGGUUAAUAACCUUCGGUCUUGACAUCACCUACAGAAGAAGCACCGGCUAACUCCGUGCCAGCAGCCGCGGUAAUACGGAGGGGGCUAGCGUUGUUCGGAAAUUACUGGGCGUAAAGCGCGCGUAGGCGGAUUGGAAAGUUGGGGGUGAAAUCCCGGGGCUCAACCCCGGAACUGC